rnacentral:rRNA from 1 species
GAUGGACGCUGGCGGCGUGCCUAAUACAUGCAAGUCGAGCGAACAGACGAGGAGCUUGCUCCUCUGACGUUAGCGGCGGACGGGUGAGUAACACGUGGAUGACCUACCUAUAAGACUGGGAUAACUUCGGGAAACCGGAGCUAAUACCGGAUAAUAUAUUGAACCGCAUGGUUCAAUAGUGAAAGACGGUUUUGCUGUCACUUAUAGAUGGAUCCGCGCCGCAUUAGCUAGUUGGUAAGGUAACGGCUUACCAAGGCAACGAUGCGUAGCCGACCUGAGAGGGUGAUCGGCCACACUGGAACUGAGACACGGUCCAGACGCCUACGGGAGGCAGAAGUAGGGAAUCUUCCGCAAUGGGCGAAAGCCUGACGGAGCAACGCCGCGUGAGUGAUGAAGGUCUUCGGAUCGUAAAACGCUGUUAUUAGGGAAGAACAAAUGUGUAAGUAACUAUGCACGUCUUGACGGUACCUAAUCAGAAAGCCACGGCUAACUACGUG